GAUGAACGCUGGCGGCGUGCCUAAUACAUGCAAGUCGAGCGAACAGAUGAGGACUUUGCUCUUCUGACGUUAGCGGCGGACGUGUGAGUAACAUGUGGAUAAGUUACCUAUAAGACUGGGAUAACUUCGGGAAACCGGUGCUAAUACCGGCGAAUAUAUGGAACCGCAUGGUUCAAUAGUGACAGACGGUUUUGCUGUUACUCAUUGAUGGAUCCACGCCGCAUUAGCUAGUUGGUAAGGUAACGGCUUACCAAGGCAACGAUGCGUAGCCGACCUGAGAGGGUGAUCGGCCACACUGGAACUGAGACACGGUCCAGACUCCUACGGGAGGCAGCAGUAGGGAAUCUUCCGCAAUGGGCGAAAGCCUGACGCAGCAACGCCGCGUGUGUGAUGAAGGUCUUCGGGUCGUAAAGCACUGUUAUUAGGGAAGAACAAAUGUGUAAGUAACUAUGCGCGUCUUGACGGUACCUAAUCAAAAAGCAACGGCUAACUACGUG
rnacentral:rRNA from 1 species